GACGAACGCUGGCGGCGUGCCUAAUACAUGCAAGUAGAACGCACAGUUUAUACCGUAGCUUGCUACACCAUAGACUGUGAGUUGCGAACGGGUGAGUAACGCGUAGGUAACCUGCCUGGUAGCGGGGGAUAACUAUUGGAAACGAUAGCUAAUACCGCAUAAUAUUGAUUAUUGCAUGCUAAUUGAUUGAAAGAUGCUAUUGCAUCACUACCAGAUGGACCUGCGUUGUAUUAGCUAGUAGGUGAGGUAACGGCUCACCUAGGCGACGAUACAUAGCCGACCUGAGAGGGUGAUCGGCCACACUGGGACUGAGACACGGCCCAGACUCCUACGGGAGGCAGCAGUAGGGAAUCUUCGGCAAUGGACGAAAGUCUGACCGAGCAACGCCGCGUGAGGGAAGAAGGGUUUCGGAUCGUAAAGCUCUGUUGUAAGAGAAGAACGGGUGUGAGAGUGGAAAGUUCACACUGUGACGGUAUCUUACCAGAAAGGGACGGCUAACUACGUG
rnacentral:rRNA from 1 species